rnacentral:lncRNA from 1 species
AAGCAGGAGAGAAAAUCCCACCUCAAAGGAUCUGGAGAACUGGCCAGAGAUCACCCCAGAAGAGAGUACAGGAGCCAGGAUUUGGACGCAGGUCUCUCUGACUCAAAUCCUUUUCUCUUUCCCUUACUUCAUCCUCCCCCUCAUCUCCUGAAAAUUAGAAGCCGGAUCCUGGAAUACACACAGAAAACCCUCCACCCAUUUUAAGGAUACAUCAAGAUCAAAACUCAUUGAUAUUGUAAUCUUACUAGUUUGAACUUUAAAACAUUUUACUGCCA